UUUCGGUACCGUAAGGUGGUACCAGAAUAAGGGCUGGGCAAGACCGGUGCCAGCCGCCGCGGUAAUACCGGCAGCCCAAGUGAUGGCCGAUCUUAUUGGGCCUAAAGCGUCCGUAGCUGGCCGCGCAAGUCCAUCGGGAAAUCCACCUGCUCAACAGGUGGGCGCCCGGUAGAAACUGCGUGGCUUGGGACCGGAAGGCGCGACGGGUACGUCCGGGGUAGGAGUGAAAUCCCGUAAUCCUGGACGGACCGCCGAUGGCGAAAGCACGUCGCGAGAACGGAUCCGACAGUGAGGGACGAAAGCCAGGGUCUCGAACCGGAUUAGAUACCCGGGUAGUCCUGGCCGUAAACAAUGUCUGCUAGGUGUGGCUCCCACUACGAGUGGGUGCUGUGCCGUAGGGAAGCCGCUAAGCAGACCGCCUGGGAAGUACGUCCGCAAGGAUGAAACUUAAAGGAAUU
rnacentral:rRNA from 1 species